rnacentral:rRNA from 1 species
GACGAACGCUGGCGGCGUGCUUAACACAUGCAAGUCGAACGGAGAGGCCCUGCUUUUGUGGGGUGCUCGAGUGGCGAACGGGUGAGUAACACGUGAGUAACCUGCCCUUGACUUUGGGAUAACUUCAGGAAACUGGGGCUAAUACCGGAUAGGAGCUCCUGCUGCAUGGUGGGGGUUGGAAAGUUUCGGCGGUUGGGGAUGGACUCGCGGCUUAUCAGCUUGUUGGUGGGGUAGUGGCUUACCAAGGCUUUGACGGGUAGCCGGCCUGAGAGGGUGACCGGCCACAUUGGGACUGAGAUACGGCCCAGACUCCUAUGGGAGGCAGCAGUGGGGAAUAUUGCACAAUGGGCGGAAGCCUGAUGCAGCAACGCCGCGUGCGGGAUGACGGCCUUCGGGUUGUAAACCGCUUUCGCCUGUGACGAAGCGUGAGUGACGGUAAUGGGUAAAGAAGCACCGGCUAACUACGUG